CUUCUUGCACGGUGGCAGUAUCCUAGCCAAUGAGGUUUAUCCAAGGUGCGAUUCUUGCUAACUGAAAACUUUUCCCAAUACCCCGCCAUGACGACUUGAAAUAUUGUCAGCGUUGGCAAUUUUUGACAGUCUCUACGGAGG
rnacentral:snRNA from 1 species